rnacentral:rRNA from 1 species
UACGUAGGGGGCAAGCGUUGUCCGGGUUUAUUGGGCGUAAAGAGCGUGUAGGCGGCUAGGUAGGUGGGUUGUGAAAACUGGAGGCUCAACCUUCAGACGUCGACCCAAACCCCCUGGCUAGAGUCCGGAAGAGGAGAGUGGAAUUCCUGGUGUAGCGGUGAAAUGCGCAGAUAUCAGGAAGAACACCCGUGGCGAAGGCGGCUCUCUGGGACGGUACUGACGCUGAGACGCGAAAGCGUGGGGAGCGAACAGG